AGAGUUUGAUCCUGGCUCAGAAUAAACGCUGUGGCGUGUUUUAUACAUGCAAGUCGAGCGGAGAUUAGCUCGCGGUUAGAGGAGAUUUAUCUGUAGUCUCUAUGGAUGAUGAUUCUUUGACUCAGGCUAAUCUUAGCGGCGGACGGGUGGGUAACGCGUGGAUAAUCUGCCCCUGAGUGGGGAAUAACUUUCCGAAAGGGAUGCUAAUACCGCAUAAUGUUAUUCCACCUCGGUAGGAUAACCAAAGUUAGACUCUUUGAGUCUUUCGCUCAGGGAUGAGUCCGCGUCCUAUUAGCUAGUUGGUGAGGUAACGGCCCACCAAGGCGACGAUGGGUAGCCGGCCCGAGAGGGUGUUCGGCCACACUGGGACUGAGACACGGCCCAGACUCCUACGGGAGGCAGCAGUAGGGAAUCUUCCGCAAUGGGCGAAAGCCUGACGGAGCAACGCCACGUGGACGAUGAAGGCCUUCGGGUCGUAAAGUCCUGUCAGAGGGGACGAUGGUUGAUCUUCGGAUUGACUGACGGUACCCCCAGAGGAAGCUCCGGCCAACUACGUGCCAGCAGCCGCGGUAAUACGUAGGGAGCAAGCGUUAUUCGGAUUUACUGGGCGUAAAGAGUGCGUAGGCGGUUGGGUAAGUCAAGGGUGAAAUCUCUGCUCUCAAGGCAGAAACUGCCCUUGAUACUACCCGACUAGAGGACAGGAGAGGGAAGUGGAACUCUGGAAGUAGCGGUGAAAUGCGUAGAUAUCCAGUGGAACGCCAGUGGCGAAGGCGGCUUCCUGGUCUGUCCCUGACGCUGAGGCACGAAAGCUAGGGGAGCGAUCGGGAUUAGAGACCCCGGUAGUCCUAGCCGUAAACGAUGGGUACUAAGUGUGGGGGGAGCAUUACUCUCCGUGCUGAAGCUAACGCGUUAAGUAUCCCGCCUGGGGAGUACGGUCGCAAGGCUGAAACUCAAA
rnacentral:rRNA from 1 species